rnacentral:tRNA from 1 species
GGGCUCAUAGCGCAGUCUGGUAGCGCGAGUGGCUCUUAACCACUAGGUCCAGGGUUCGAAUCCCUGUGGGCCCA